rnacentral:rRNA from 1 species
UAAUACGAAGGGGGCUAGCGUUGUUCGGAAUUACUGGGCGUAAAGCGCGCGUAGGCGGCGACCUUUGUCAGAGGUGAAAUCCCGAGGCUCAACUUCGGAAUUGCCUUUGAAACGGGGUUGCUUGAGUCCGAGAGAGGGUGGCGGAAUUCCUAGUGUAGAGGUGAAAUUCGUAGAUAUUAGGAAGAACACCGGUGGCGAAGGCGGCCACCUGGCUCGGUACUGACGCUCAGGCGCGAAAGCGUGGGGAGCAAACAGGAUUAGAUACCCUGGUAGUCCACGCCGUAAACUAUGAGUGCUAGUUGUUGGGGGGUUAACCCCUCAGUGACGUAGCUAACGCGUUAAGCACUCCGCCUGGGGAGUACGGUCGCAAGAUUA